rnacentral:rRNA from 1 species
UCAGGUGGCCGCAGAGAAUAGGCCCAAGCGACUGUUUACCAAAAACAUAGGUUUCUGCUAAGUCGCAAGACGAUGUAUAGGAGCUGACGCCUGCCCGGUGCUGGAAGGUUAAGGGGAUCUGUUAGAGCAAUCGAAGCAGUGAACUUAAGCCCCAGUAAACGGCGGCCGUAACUAUAACGGUCCUAAGGUAGCGAAAUUCCUUGUCGGGUAAGUUCCGACCCGCACGAAAGGC